rnacentral:rRNA from 1 species
AUGAAAAGACCCGAGCUUGGGGAUGCUAUGUUUGAUGAGAAUGACAUGUUUGAGAAUUUAUUUGCUGCAAUUAAUGUUUGUCCCAAGCUUGGGGAUGCUAUGUUUUAUGAAGAUGAUAUGUUUAACCUCCCAAGCUUUGAUAUGCAAAUUUAUUAUGAUGAUAGCAUGCCUCCUAUUUAUGAUGAUUAUAUUAAUGAAAGUGGGUUUGGAGAGGUCAUGACUUUAUUUAGUAAUGAUUUCACUAUUUUGGAAGAGGUUUCAAUUGAUUAUGAUGAGAACAAAGUUGCUACUUAUGAUGAUUAUUGUGAUGAAACUUAUGCUAUAAAAAGUAGUGAUGAUUAUAUUAAAACUUGUCAUGAUUAUGAUUACCCUUUUUUAAACAUUACUCUUUUAAUGUGGAAAUAA